GAUGAAGAACGCAGCGAAAUGCGAUAAGCAAUGUGAAUUGCAGAAUUCAGUGAAUCAUCGAAUCUUUGAACGCACAUUGCGCCCGUCAGUAUUCUGGCGGGCAUGCCUGUUCGAGCGUCAUUACGCCCCUCAAGUCCCCUGUGGACUUGGUGUUGGGGAUCGGCGAGGCUGGUUUUCCAGCACAGCCGUCCCUUAAAUUAAUUGGCGGUCUCGCCGUGGCCCUCCUCUGCGCAGUAGUAAAACACUCGCAACAGGAGCCCGGCGCGGUCCACUGCCGUAAAACCCCCCAACUUUUUAUAGUUGACCUCGAAUCAGGUAGGACUACCCGCUGAACUUAAGCAUAUCAAUAAGCGGAGGA
rnacentral:misc_RNA from 1 species